rnacentral:rRNA from 1 species
UGGAUCCAGACUUUGAUUCUGGCUCAGGAUGAACGCUAGCUACAGGCUUAACACAUGCAAGUCGAGGGGAAACGAUAUUGGAAGCUUGCUUCCGUUAGGCGUCGACCGGCGCACGGGUGAGUAACGCGUAUCCAACCUGCCCACCACUUGGGGAUAACCUUGCGAAAGUAAGACUAAUACCCAAUGAUAUCUCUAGAAGACAUCUGAAAGGGAUUAAAGAUUUAUCGGUGAUGGAUGGGGAUGCGUCUGAUUAGCUUGUUGGCGGGGUGACGGCCCACCAAGGCGACGAUCAGUAGGGGUUCUGAGAGGAAGGUCCCCCACAUUGGAACUGAGACACGGUCCAAACUCCUACGGGAGGCAGCAGUGAGGAAUAUUGGUCAAUGGGCGAGAGCCUGAACCAGCCAAGUAGCGUGCAGGAUGACGGCCCUAUGGGUUGUAAACUGCUUUUAUAAGGGAAUAAAGUGAGUCUCGUGAGACUUUUUGCAUGUACCUUAUGAAUAAGGACCGGCUAAUUCCGUGCCAGCAGCCGCGGUAAUACGGAAGGUCCGGGCGUUAUCCGGAUUUAUUGGGUUUAAAGGGAGCGUAGGCCGGAGAUUAAGCGUGUUGUGAAAUGUAGACGCUCAACGUCUGCACUGCAGCGCGAACUGGUUUCCUUGAGUACGCACAAAGUGGGCGGAAUUCGUGGUGUAGCGGUGAAAUGCUUAGAUAUCACGAAGAACUCCGAUUGCGAAGGCAGCUCACUGGAGCGCAACUGACGCUGAAGCUCGAAAGUGCGGGUAUCGAACAGGAUUAGAUACCCUGGUAGUCCGCACGGUAAACGAUGGAUGCCCGCUGUUGGUCUGAAUAGGUCAGCGGCCAAGCGAAAGCAUUAAGCAUCCCACCUGGGGAGUACGCCGGCAACGGAGCAAACUCAAAGGAAUUGACGGA